UUACACUAGGAAUGAUAAAAAAAUCUACAUUAGCUCAAUUAAGGAAACAAGCUGUGGACACGGACAUGUCGUGAUGUGAUGAUGGCCAGCAUUUGAGAUGGUCACAGCAUCCUGGGUGCAUUCAUUUGAUAAGAGUUUUCAUUCUGACUGACAUGGGAAAGAUUUCUUGUAGACGACGAUCAAAAAGGAGACGAUCAAACUCCAUACAGAGAGAAAAUGACCAGCAAGGAGUCAUCUCCGAUAACGUGAAACAGGAGAGUGAGAUUUCUGAGCACAGCUUCUCUGAGCCGAGACACAAUGAAAAUGAAUCCGAUGUAUUUUCCAACUCACUGAGCCAGAACACUUCUGCUGUGGAUGGAAGUCAUGUUUUUUUUCCAGUUUUUUCCCAUAGUAACGUAGGACAAGUAACGAUCAACAGCACUUACGCAAUAAAUAACAAGUCACCUGAUACCAGGGAGAGAAAUCCAGAAUCUCAGGCUCAGGAUGGAUCCUCUGACGUUGACGCCUCUGCAACAACUAUUUUAAGGACUCCUAAAAAAUCCAAGAAGUUCAGGAGAAGUCGACGUUCUGCUGCCAGACGAUCUCUCACCCACUUCCGCGGACCACGUGACAUCGUGGGUGAGAUUACUGGAGCUCACGUCACCUCCGAGUAUCACUGCAGUGAUUGCAGAUUCAAAAUUCCUUCCUGGAAACCUUUAUGCUUUAACGUCAAGUGUCCCGGGUGCAAGAUGAGCUGGAAGUGCGAUAAAAUCCAGUGUACUUGCAAAGCUAAAAUAACCCUGGAGCUGCCCAGUGGGCAGACGCAGAGGGUCACGCUGGACGAUUCGCUAAUGCGCUCCAUUGUUAGGUUUAAAACACAGGGCUACUGCAAGACGGAGAGAAUCGAGACGAAGAUUCUGAAGAUUGGGAGCGUGAGAGUGGUGUAUAACGAUGGAGUCUUGAGGAGCGUGAGCAAGAUUUCGUCCAGCUCCAUGUCUCUCCGUGAUAUUCCAGACGCCUUCCCUAGUUUCUGAUUAGGGAUUCUGAAAUCUGGACUCCAGUAUGGUAAUAAAUGUGUAAAAUGUGUAAAAAAAAAAAAAAAAAACCCAAAACAAACAAAUCAAUAAUUUCGAAAGUUACAUCAAUGUUUAUGUGUGGAAAGUUCCUCGUAUUCAGAGUGGGGUUACACACACGUUAAAGCCGAAUACCGGGUCUCUGUAGUUCACGCCUCUGUGGUUGACCAGGACCCUGUCGCCGGUCCACCGGUCCUUUCUUGGACCACUUUUGGUAGAUAUUAACUCGAGAAACACCCAUGUGUCCGCCGAUAAAGGCAAUUUUUCACGUUACCGAUAAAAACAUCCGGUGAUCAGGGCCAAUUAUAUCAUGUCAAUCAAAAGAGGGCGGGAAAACACACUGAUUUUGUGCUGUGUGUAAAGACGAUGUUGAUAGUGUGAUUAAGGUGUGUACAGGUCUGUAAUACAGACCGAUAACGUGAUUAAAACAGGAAUACUCCACACAUCUUAAUUCCAUCUGUGCUUACUUUGAUUAUGACUUUAGUCUGAUUAAGGUCAUCACUGAUCUCUGUUUACAUGCUAGUUUCUUAAUCAGAGUAUCGUCUUAAUCAGGUUGAUAUCAGAGUAUCGUCGUCCGUGUAGACGUACUGACUGUUAUUCACUUCACCUGCCAGUGGUCUUAAUGUUAUGGCUGAUCAAUGUAUAUUUUAUCGUGAACUAUUGUGGUUACAUAAAACUGUCAGACUGUGCUACUGGACAUAAUACUGCUCCUAACUCGAGCCGAUAUCACGCAAGAAAACGCUCUUAAGUUAACUCAGAUUAACGUCUAACUCAGACACACCUGUUUUCCUCAAUCUCCACCCAGCUUGCCUAACUCUUGCAUGAUUCCUGUAGUUAUGUAGUUGAUUUUUGCAAGUGAACUUUACUUCUCCUUCUUCAUCUUAUUUACUUUAGUGUUUUCGUUUGGUUGUGUUUGUUUCGUUUCUGUUUGUUCUUGUUUUAUUUGUCAUUUAUUUUUUUUCGUCAUUAAAGUUCCGGUGUCUCAGGGUUGACCAACAGCAUAUUUGAUUGUUGAACAUCACCAGGUGCUGAAGUCAGUGUUCCAGUUUACCUCAAAGGUGUUCAGUGCGGUUGAGGUCAGGGCUCUGUGCAGGACACUCGAGUUCUUCAACUCCAUCCUUACAGGGGCAUUAUCGUGCUGGAACAGCUUUGGGCCACAGAAAGGAAAGAGGAAGGGAAAUCACACAAACGCAUUCUAUACAACUGUCUGCUUCCAUGUUUGUGGCAGGAGUUUAGGGAAGGACCACAUAUUGGUGUGAUGGUCAGGUGUGACCAUUUUUGACCAUACAAUGUAUAUGUAAACUUUUUCACGUGCCAUAAUAGAAAUAUUUUAUAUGCCUCAUUCAGUAAAAAAGAUGGUGCGUCUGAAAGGAUUUGCGUCUGUUUAAUAGAAGGGAAGAAUAGACAAUAGAGAGUUGACACAAGACAUUCUUAUACAUUUGUAGUUAUUUUAUUAACAUUAUAGCAUUAUAUUAAUUAUAUUAUAAAUACCGUGUGCAGUCUCUUCUGUGUAAAAUGCUUAAACAUUUUGGACUCAAAAAGGCGUUUUAAAAAUGAGAAUUACAUGAAUUACAUUAAAUGACUGUGAAUCAUUUUCUUAUAAUUAACCGUUGCACUGUUCGAGUCUUUAACCAACAUGUUUAACAGGUUUAGCCUCCAAGUCAUCCACAAUAUAAUCCACAAUAUAAUCUGUUAUUCGCCAUUAAAGUCAUUAAAU
ensembl:lncRNA